UACACUCCUACGGGAGGCAGCAGUGGGGAAUAUUGGACAAUGGGGGCAACCCUGAUCCAGCCAUGCCGCGUGAGUGAUGAAGGCCCUAGGGUUGUAAAGCUCUUUUGUGCGGGAAGAUAAUGACGGUACCGCAAGAAUAAGCCCCGGCUAACUUCGUGCCAGCAGCCGCGGUAAUACGAAGGGGGCUAGCGUUGCUCGGAAUCACUGGGCGUAAAGGGUGCGUAGGCGGGUCUUUAAGUCAGGGGUGAAAUCCUGGAGCUCAACUCCAGAACUGCCUUUGAUACUGAGGAUCUUGAGUCCGGAAGAGGUGAGUGGAACUGCGAGUGUAGAGGUGAAAUUCGUAGAUAUUCGCAAGAACACCAGUGGCGAAGGCGGCUCACUGGUCCGGUACUGACGCUGAGGCACGAAAGCGUGGGGAGCAAACAGGAUUAGAAACCCGGGUAGUCCC
rnacentral:rRNA from 1 species